ensembl:snRNA U6 U6 spliceosomal RNA
GUGCUCACUUCUGCAGCACAUAUACUAAAAUUGGAACAAUAUAGAGAAGAUUAGCAUGACCCCUGGGCAAGGAUGACAUGCAAAUUCAUGAAUGUUCCAUAUAAAA